UCGCCACGAGCCUCCGAGCACACGUCCUCGGCCCCGCCUUAGGCUCCUCCCUCGCCGCGAGCCUCCGAGACGCUGGGUCUCUGGUCCCGCCCUCAGGCACCGCCUUCGGCCGCCGAGAGGUGGGGGAAACACUCCGUCCUUGGCUCCGCCCCCGCGCCGCCGGCUGCUAGCCGCCCAACUGCUAGACUCCCGCGGCGAGACUUCCGGUACUCGGCUCUCGCAAAAUGGCGGCUGCGGUGGGCGCCUUUGCAGUCUCGUUUUCGUCGUUUUCAAUUCAGGAGGAAGAUACUGGUGGCCAUCUUGGGACCAUGAGAGGAGCUAGUCUUAGAAUGAUGCAGACACCAAGGAAGGCACAGCAGAGAAAAGGAAACAAACGGUCCUUGAUGACAUAUUGAGUUAUAGAAUCAAGCUUCACUUGAAGCCAUGAUUACCUGAAGCCUGUGGACUUCUCAUUCAUGAAAUGAAAUGGCAUUGUCCUGAUCACCUUGAGGAUGCGAGGAGGGGUGAAAAGAUGCAGAUCCAUGGCAGUGACAGCGAGACGAGUAUGGUCUAGGAGAACAUGAAACUUGGACAUUAAUGUCCUCCCUGUGAGCUUUCCCCAAAGGUAUCCUUUAGCUAUGGAGCUAAUCAGAAGGCCCAUCGGCAUUUCCAUGUGUAGUUUACACACCACACUGGUUUCUUGGCCGGUCCAUGGCACAAAGGGAAUUGAGUAAGACAUCACGACGUAGACAAGCUGCAACGUGAACGCCACAGAGGUGGGAAGGUCAUGGCCCACAAAGGCAGAGAUUCGGUGAAGGCCUCUGAGGUUUCACCUCAUGUCCACAGUUCUUAGUCACACAAUUUCCUUUAUGGAUCUGAACAGUAACAAACGGGCCUUAGAAAACGAAUCAGUGUGCCAGGUGGAAAAUGCCAAAAGUCAUCUUGUCUCUCCAAAGGGUUAAGCUGCUUUUCCGUUUUGUUUUUCUACCCUUUCUUUAUUCUUCAAGCCCUCUUUGCUGAAUAAUUUAAAAUUCACGGUUACAAGGGCUUCCUUUGUGCCCACAUUCCCCUGCUGAGAUCAGAUGCAGCUGACCCCACCCCAGUCAAGGCCAACUGGAUGAGGGCAGGACCCUGGCCCAAGUCUUCCUGCUGGAGAGCACGCUGUGGGAUGGCCGGGUGUGAAAAAGCCUGCUCUGCUCGAACAAGGCAGUCUGUUUCCUCCUCGUCUCAGAAGUAUGAACUGGGAAUCAUGGGGACAGGUAGGCAGUCAGUCAUACCAGAGAAAUGAGAGGAGACAGGAAUAGCCAGUUAACUGGUGGACAUAAGAGAGGAGAUGAUCCGUCUCCUGGGACUGAGGGCACAUCGUGAUUUUUCAGGUACCUAAACUGUACUGUAGUCUUUAAUAACUCUAACAGUAGCAAAGCUAACGGUAACAAUAAUAGCUAGCAUUUAUUGUGCCCUUACCAUGUGCUAAGGAUCAUUUUAGGAAUUUUACAAGUAUUCAUUCAUUCAAUUUUCACAAUGACUCUUGAUGAUGAUGAUGAUGAUGAUGAUGAUGAUGCUGAUGAUGGCACUGAAGCACAGAGAAGCUAAGUAACUUGACCAAGGCUACACAGCUCAUAAGUGGCCCAGACACAAUUUGAACUCAAAUGGCAGGGUUCCAGAGCCCAUCCAGCGUGUGCCUCCCUGUGGGGUAGUCCUGAGUAUCCUGUGUUCUUUAUUGCCCAUCCUUACAAUAAAGCUCCCCUAUUAAGGAGGCCUGACAGGGGGUCUAUUUCUUGCUCCCUAUUGCCUCACAACUAGCAUUUUUCUUGGCUCCGCUCAUUAUGAAUCUUAGUAACGUAAGCAUACAUUUAUUAAUUCAAGAACUAUUUAAUGCUUACUGUGUGCCAGGAACUACUACUGAGCUCUGGAAGCUGACGAAGAAUCCGCCCCGUUCCAGCUCUCAGGAACCUCUACUAAGUAGGGAAAGACUCGGUCUGCACACACCGCCACGCCAGAAAGAGCUUCCAGUAAUUAUACUGUAUAGUCAUACUUCUACGACCUUCUGCAGAAUCUACGGGACAUAUUGUCUUUGUAAACACACUGUGUCCUAUUUUUGAAUAAUGAUAUAUUGUAUCCUGAGCUCAUCGUUAAAAUAACGCCUCAAAAGAACAUCUUAAAUAUCACCAAAAUAGAAACAGACAGGCAAAGACGGCUUCUUGGAAGGUCUUCCCAGGAUUCUGUGUCAGUCAGGCCAAGGGGAUGGCAACACCCAUGCGCACACUGGCUGACCUAUAGGCGGCGCUGCAGUGUCCCCCAGAGCCUGAAGGUGCCUGAGAAAUACGAACCAUGGCCUCCUCCUCUGUCCGAUCAUAUUUCACUGCUGGCAACUUGUUCACGGCAUCAAUCCCCAUUCCCGCCAAGUGGGUAUUUACUUAUGUCUACGGUACUUGCAAGACGGUGCUCUCAGACACCAGGUGUCACUCUUCUCAUCUUUCCAAACUGACAGCACCAGCACGCUGCUUUGCACCUGACAGGUCUUUAACCCGUUUUAAACGACCGUUUUGUAACAGUAUUACACCAGCACCAGUCUAUUGUGGGAAAUGCUGAACUCAAAUUUAAAGGAGAGAAAUUACGUAUAAUCCUACUAGAAGUACACGUUAACUUUUUGGAAUAUUUCCUUCUGGUCUUGAUACAUAUAAAAUGUUUCAAAAUGAAGAUGAUAAAUACGCAGUUUUGAAUCCAGGUUCUGUUAGCCUUUCCUACCGCUAAAUACUCUUUGAAAACAUGAUUUUUUAAUGACUGCAUGGAAUUUCGACACCAAUUUAUUGAACAUUCUCCUAUGGCUGGUCAUUUACUUUAUUUCUUACUUUGCUUUUAUAAGUGUGCUAAUAUCAACAUCCUUAUACACAAAUUCUUGUGUUCAGUUAGGUUUAUGCAAUAGAAAAAGAAGUAUUGGAUCAAAGAGUUUGAACAAUUUAAACUCUUGAUACGCAGUGCAAAUGGUCCACGGGGAAGACUUAUACUCCCUCUGGCCUCAUGAAAGAAUGAAUGCCCCAUUCACCAUACUCUCGCCAACACCGAAUAUUACAGUUUUAGAAAAUCUUUAUCUUAAUUUGGUUUCUUCAGUGGGCCGUAACAGAGCCUACAUUUAAACCCUACGUUCCUAAGAAAAGUGCAGAUGGGUCACUUACAAACAGGAGCAAAAGAGCCUAUGGGCAACAGUCCCCACCUCAAGCCCUCGAAGCCAUAAAAUACUUUAGAAUUUUAGAAAUGGCAAGUACUUUAGAGGUCACUGAGCAAACUGUUUCAGUUUAUAAAUAAAGUAACCAAAGCUCAGAGAGAUGAAGUGACCUGGGAAACAUAUUUGAGUUCGAACUAGAAUCUAGUUGUCUGGACCCGUGGUCUUGACCCAUAAGCCAUUUCUUUAGAAUGGGCUGAUAACCUAUGGAAGCAACAAACCAUUGUUAUGAGAGUGAAAAAAUAGAAGGAAAAAUAGUAUGAGAAUAUAUUUGAAAACGAAACCGUUAUUGUUCUAAAUUGUUUUAUCUUCAUGACACCAAGUGAGAAUAAGCUGUUUUACAGACAAAGGCAAAAACUCACAUGUGAGUGUUACUCUAUUCUUAAGAUCCCUGCUUACAUCUAGAACAGAUAGUUUUUUCUCCUGGAACCAUUAAAAUAUUCAGCAUUGAUCUACCAUUCUCUCAUCGAGCCAACAUUUACUAAGAAUGUACUGUGGCCAGGCAUGGUGCCAGGUACUGGAGCAGCAGGGGGGAAAGAACCAAGCUAAUGCUGCCACCCUGGUCCAAGGCACCAUCAUCUCUCAUGGGAAGAUUGCAACAGCCUCCUAACUGGAAGGUUAUUAAAUGCUCUGGGGACGAGGAACAAAAAGCUGAGAGACCAGGCUAGAGAAGGAAGCAAGCUGUCCAUACA